UACAGAGGGGGCAAGCGUUGUUCGGAAUUACUGGGCGUAAAGGGCGCGUAGGCGGCCUUCUAAGUCGAACGUGAAAUCCCUGGGCUCAACCCAGGAACUGCGUCCGAUACUGGAAGGCUUGAAUCCGGGAGAGGGAUGCGGAAUUCCAGGUGUAGCGGUGAAAUGCGUAGAUAUCGGCAGGAACACCCAGGGGGAAACCAGUCGACUGGGCAUCUACUGACGCUGAGGUGCGAGAGCGUGGGGAGCGAACCGG
rnacentral:rRNA from 1 species